AAGACUAUAGACCUGCGGAGUACCUGCGGAAGGAUCAUUACAAGUAAUAAGUACCCAGUACCUAUUAUAAACCCAUCCGUGUAUCUUACCCGUUGCUUCCGUGGCGCGGCGCACCGCCCUGGCGGGGCUCCCCCACGGGAGGUACACACCAAAAACAUUGCAUUGCCAUGAUAUCUGUCUGAAAUGAAAACAACAAAAGUUAAAACUUUCAACAACGGAUCUCUAGAUCGGAAGAGCACA
rnacentral:misc_RNA from 1 species